AGUGAACGCUGGCGGUAGGCCUAACACAUGCAAGUCGAACGGCAGCACAGUAAGAGCUUGCUCUUACGGGUGGCGAGUGGCGGACGGGUGAGGAAUACAUCGGAAUCUACUUUUUCGUGGGGGAUAACGUAGGGAAACUUACGCUAAUACCGCAUACGACCUACGGGUGAAAGCAGGGGAUCUUCGGACCUUGCGCGAUUGAAUGAGUCGGUGUCGGAUUAGCUAGUUGGCGGGGUAAAGGCCCACCCAGGCGACGAUCCGUAGCUGGUCUGAGAGGAUGAUCAGCCACACUGGAACUGAGACACGGUCCAGACGCCUACGGGAGGCAGCAGUGGGGAAUAUUGGACAAUGGGGGCAAGCCUGAUCCAGCCAUACCGCGUGGGUGAAGAAGGCCUUCGGGUUGUAAAGCCCUUUUGUUGGGAAAGAAAAGCAGCAGGUUAAUACCCCGCUGUUCUGACGGUACCCAAAGAAUAAGCACCGGCUAACUUCGUG
rnacentral:rRNA from 1 species